UAGUGUUUUCUCUACAGUUAUAGGGGUCUGGAGCUCACAGACCCACCUCGGGAUCAGAAUUGGCCCUUCUGUUCCAGGCUCACACCAGGCGUGGGCGCAGAUCCUGGUGGCCUGCCGCAUUCAGGCUCCAGAUGGAGAAAGACCCACGUCAGAGUUCCCUCCGUUGGACGCCCCAGGAGCCCAGCACACCUGCAGCAAAUAGGAGAGGAGCCUGGGCCUGUGCACGUUUCUCUUCCCGCCCUGAUCCAUUCCAGGGGACCAGCCUGGUCUGGCUCGAGAAGGUGAGGCAAGUUAAUCCCCCUUGGCGUCAGGAACAGAAGGGCCAAUUCUGAUCCCGAGGCCAGAUACGGAGCACAAGCCAAAUAAGCCCCCCAUGACGGUGUAUGUGUGGCUCUGGGCAGAAAUGCAUGACAAGUCUCACAAACACGCUCUAUACAGAACACAGGGACCGCUUCCUCUGACCACCUCUGUAAGUAAUAAUAAUAAUAAUAAUACUUAUUUAA